rnacentral:lncRNA from 1 species
GCGCUGCUGAGACCCGCGUGUGCGGAGGGAAGUGGGGAACUGCCCCUUUUCCAAGGGCCUGAACACAGCUUUUGACUACUGACUGUCCUGUUCUGCCUUCCUCUUCGCGUGGGCCACCGCCCCACAGCGCCGCUGGGUUCCCUUCGCGGCCGCAUGGUACGCGUCCCGGGAGCGAAGCUUCCCCUGGGGGGAGCGCGCUAACCUGAGCUCCUUCGGUGCACCGCCCUGCCGACUGUCUGGAAGUCAGCAAUGGGAUAUUCCCACCACAACUUUACCGGGAUCUCUGGGUUGACUCUCUGGGUUGAGGAUCGGGGAGCUGGGUCGGGAGGCUGGCUUGUGGCUGUGGUUGAGGGGCCCGGACGCCUCGAAAGCAGGAGGGUGCCCAGGCGAAGUGCAGGCUGCACCAUGCAAUCUUCCGGGCGCAGAGGCGACCCAACCCGACCUGAGGGAGAUCCACGGGCUCUGGGCCGAGGGGAGACGCAGUGGAAUGAACUGAACUGCUGGUCCACAAGAACAGUUUUUCUAUCAAAGGAUACCAUCAAAUUCUGGAGAAGUUCUACAAAUCAUAAUCUAUUUCCCUUUUUCCAGAAAGGCAACUUGAUUCGGGGGGAUAUGGCAGCUUCCACUCUGAGGUGCCCUUACUUCAAAUCAGGCCCAGCCCAAGAUCGUGUUUUCCCUAAGCUGGGCUCAUCAUCAGAGAGGUGGGGGCCGGGCCAAAUCUUAAAGAGCCACUUGGCGACUCUAACGACUGGCAAAGAGGAAAGAAAUUGGAAUUCUAGUAGCAUGUAUCCAACUGUUUCAAACCUCCACCUGCUACAUGGGCGUGGCUUCUGAGAUCGACAUGCUUCCAACAGCUUAUACAGAGUGAACGGCAGAUGCGUCCUUUGGGGGUGAUCUCAGGGACGUCAGAAAGUCCCUGCCU